AACGUGACUCAGGGCUAAUGAACAGAUUUUCAUCUCUACUUUGAGUCAUUCUCAUAACUCCAUCUCAGUGGGAAUAUGAAAGGACUAUAGGGAGAAAACUCUCUAACAAUGGACUGAGAGGUCGGAAUCCCAUCCCUGUACUUGGAAAGGAAAAGAAUGUUGAAAGGAGGAAGACCUGGCUGCCUCAUCAUGGAAAUGGGAUGUCAAUGACUGAAGAAAUGAGCAGAAGAGUAGGACAAGUCAAAGACAUGUACUGAAAUGCCAGUUCCUGUGGGUGAUUGCAGACGGUUUCUUUGCCUAGAGAUCAUCUCUGGCCUCAAAGCAGCUGAGCUGCAAAUGGAACUGUGUGUGCUGCAUAAUACUGUAACAUUUCCAGAGUCCACGAAGAUUUAUUCAGUGAUCAACUGCUUUAGCGUGUGAGUCACUCCAGAGAGGUAGCGUGUUCAAGAGGGGACC